CAGCAAGUGCGUCAGAGAUCCACGGGCAACUCGGUGCAGAACCAGUAGUCCAGCACUCAGGGUGCCUUGAUCCAAGCCCGUUCCCUGCCUGGCUGGCGGAGACAGCACAGGCUCCCGUCCUCCCAGCUCCCCUCUGGCAGUUCCAUUCUCAGAGCAGGAGAGCAAUUCUGAUAAUGUCCACACUUCCCUAAGGGCGAUGCCCAUUCUGCUAUUAAGAACAAGGAAAGCUGGGCUUGGUGGCCCACACCCAUGAUCUCAGCUACUCAGGAGGCUGAGGCAGGAGGACCGCAUGCUGGAGGCCAGCCUGGGCAACACAGCAAGGCUGGGAAUAUAGCUCAGUGGUAGAGUGUCCCUGGGUUCGGUUCCCAGUGUCAAAAAGGAAUACCCUCCUACAGCAAGGUGGCAGGCAGGGACAAACACAAUAGCCGAAGGUCAUGUUCCUGACCUGAGAGAGCGAAUCCUGGAGGUGCCCUAAGGCUGGGGUCCAGUUCACAGCUGCCCAGCGCUCCUGGAACAGGUGCACAGGAGGGUCCAGAGGGGCCUGAAGGAUGUAUUGGGUGGAAGACACACAACUGCAUCCCAGGAAGAGGCAGGGUGGUCAGCGAUGGUGCCCAGGGAAGGAGACGGCUGGACAUAGCAAUCCCCGUUCACCACCACAAAAGCCAGCCAGGUGCAACCAGAACAAGCUGGUGCCAACAGAGGCUGAGUGUGGAGGACACUGUCCUGUCCUCCCCUACUGCAGAGGUUCACAGCGACCCUCUCUCACCCUGGACUCGGGGACAACUUCCCGAGUUCCGACAGCCAGGUCUCAGGGCGGGCUGCUCCCUGCCUGGCCUCUGGUUGGUGAUUGACUGCUGGGGUGGCUGCCUCCAAGCCCUGGGCCACCCAGUCCACCCCAGGGACGCUCCAUGAAGUGGAUACUGGGAGGCAGCGGAUCCUUGACUCACCACAUGCCCCCCAGGAAGCCCCACCUGCCUCCCAGCCCAGCCCCAGCUGAGAGGCGCUGGCUGCCUCUCGUCUCCAGGAAAUGGUCAACAAUGGGCGACCGGCCUGCAUGUGGGUAAUGAGGAGACUGUCAUGGCCAAGUGGGACCACAGGCUGCAUGGUCCCGGUCACCUCCACGCGCUGGCUCCAGACGUGCCCCCUCCUGGCCUUCCCUGCUUCUCUGCUCACUCCACUGUCCACAGACAACUGGGCAAGGGGACAGCUCACCUGACCCCCAGGAAGUCAGUUGGUAGUGGACAAAGAGCAGAUCCCGAGUUGGUGGGCUCAAGGCACCCCGCCCAGACCCCCACAGAGGCUCCAGGCUGUGACAUCACAGGCAGGACAAAAGACCCCACCAUGAAGAGGAAACCUACAGACAGGCCCAGGGAUUUGAUCUCCUGCUGGGAAGAGGUGGGGCUGGACAGGGACCUGCCUGGCCAGUGACCAGGAAACACAAGAGGCUAGACCCCCAGAGAGGGAAUAGGAAGCGAGAAGCCCUCAGAACAGAAGAGCUGGGCAGCGGUGGAGACUGGAGGAGCGAGGCUGUCCCUGGGGCCCUGGAGUGCUAGGUCAGCAUUUGCAGGUUAGAGCAGAGCACACGGAUGACCUUACACACAGCACACCAGCACAGAAGGGCCCUGGAGGCAGG
rnacentral:lncRNA from 1 species